GAUGAACGCUGGCGGCGUGCCUAAUACAUGCAAGUCGAACGAACAGACGCGGAGCUUGCUCCUCUGACGUUGGCGACGGACGGGUGAGUAACACGUGGAUAACCUUCCUCUAUGACUGGGAUAACUUCGGGAAGCCGUAGCUACUACCAGAUAAUAUAUUGAACCGCAUGGUGCAAUAGUGAAAGACGGUUUUUGUGUCGCUUAUCGACGGAUCCGCGCCGCGUUAGCUAGUUGGUAAGGUAACGGCUUACCAAGGCAACGAUGCGUAGCCGACCUGAGAGGGUGAUCGGCCACCCGGGAACUGAGACACGGUCCAGGGUCCUACGGGAGGCAGCAGUAGGGAAUGGUCCGCAAUGGGCGAAAGCCUGACGGAGUAACGGCGCGUGAGUGACGACGGUCUUCGGAUCGGAAAACCCUGUUAUUAGGGAAGAACCACUGUGUAAGUAGAUAAACACGUCGUGACGGUACCUAAAGAGAAAGCAACGGCUAACUACGUG
rnacentral:rRNA from 1 species